GUACUCGCUUCGGCGGUACAUAUACUACAAUUGGAACGAUACAGAGAAGAUGAGAAUGUCCCUAAUGUUAAUGACACUAUGAACGUAAGAACUCGAAAAGUAGAUU